rnacentral:piRNA from 1 species
UACAUAGUCACAAAUGUUUGGAAGUGUCAU